AAGAACCAAUUUGCAUGAAAAAGAUGUUCAACCAAUAAAGGAACAAUUAGCGCAGAGUUUAUUUGAUCACAUACCUGUUGUGUGGGUUCUAAAGGUAUAAUUCCUAUGAAUGCACGUGACAUGGAAGAAGCUUUAGAAAUGGGCAUGGAUUGGUCUCUGCGUGAAGGCUACGUGUGGGCUGAGGAUAAAGAGCAUUGUGAAGAAUAUGGGAGGAUGUUAAAUGCUGACCCAUCCAAAGUUAGUUUAAGAGCCAAAAAAAGAGGAUUGCCACAGCUAGGUACGCUGGGAGCUGGCAACCAUUAUGCAGAAAUACAAGUUGUUGAUGAAAUAUAU